rnacentral:piRNA from 1 species
UUCUAACAGUCUGUAUUCCUGACAG